CCUGGUAUGUGAAAUCGAGUCGACGGUCCAACUGGUGGGUAGAACAGAACGGUCGGGCCUUCACUAGCCUAGACCAAACCAACAGAAAUCGAACUAACUCAGGUUUGGAAAAAAAAACUUAAAACUCUAGUUUUUCUCUAAAUUUAUUUUCUGUUGCGUUUUCUAAACCCAAUUUUUCAACACAAUCUCCAAGUACUAUCGGUACAAUGCACUGAAAACAAUAAUGCGAACUUAAACUACAGUCGAUACUCCACGAAACUCCUUAGUCAUCCACAAUAUCCCACCCCAUGCACAUGCAUUAUGGCAUACAUUUAAGGAAAAAAAUUAUGCUCCCACAAUGGCUUCAAUACAUUGACAUGCUACACAUGCUUACACAUUUAUACCCAAUUCAGUCCAAUGGCAUAUUUAUCAUACGUUCUAUUUUACAAUCAAUUCAAUAACAUUUAUCGCGCCUUGGUAUCAUAAUCAUUUCAAUAGCAACUAUCAUACUUCAAUAAAAAAUUUAUAGUGCAUGUAUAGCAAGCUUCAAAUAAGCUCAUACCAUGACGACACAGUCAAACAUACCGUACAAACAUUUCAUUAUUAUAUCAUAAACACACAUGUUAUACCAACAACCAUUAAUAUUCAUGUCAACUAUUUUAAAGCAUAAAAAUACCAAACAUACAAUUAAUCAGCCAACCAUGCCAAUUUUGCGUUCAUGCUUUUAGUUAGGGCUCAAAAUGUACCUAGUUCGGCCACCUUAAAAUCAUUUAUUUAGCUACUUAAAUAAGCCCGGCCAGGUAGCUUAAUUAUGAAUUUAAAUAACUAAUCAUUUAUUUAGUUAGGGUUCUUUAGCAGAUUGCAUUGUCUCCUUGAAACAAUCUUACAAACUUUAAACCAAAAAUUUGGGAUUUACAACUCUCCCC
rnacentral:lncRNA from 1 species